CGCAUAUAUAAUCACCCUCCCGUACACAUAAAUUUGCAAAUAUAUGGAUUUGCAGCUGAUCCUACCUACGUCCGCCGCUAAUGGCAGAUGAAUUUCGUAUGUAAGUAAAGGUGGAAAACAGGGGAGUAAUUUAUUAAUUGCAGCAAUCUUACAAGUUAGCAAGUAGGGUAGGGAACCCCACAGGCACGAGCAACCUUUCUAUCUCCAACGGAGGAAAGGAAAUGCUUGAGGUUUGGAUCUUUCAAGUAACCACAAAGACAGGGCCUCUGCUCCCUUACUUUACGGCAGCAAGUAGUAGAUGGUGGUACCGACAUCAAGAUUGCUGGUAGGCAUAUGGUCACUUCCGAAGGGCUGCACGUUACUGCACGUGCCACUUGCGUUUCCAUUGAUACCAUCACCACCGUACAUAGAACGAUACAGUGCAUGUUCUUCAUCCCUGAUCGAUCCAUGUUAUUAUUAUUACUAUUAAUCAACGCUGACAGCAUGCAAGAAAUGGUGCUUAAUUGGAGCGAAGAGUUUUCAUUUUAACUUUUGAGGCGCGCGCACACACACACAUAUAUAUAUACACACACACGCACACACUCUUUAAUUUUACAAAAGUCCCCCUCUUUUUUGUUAAAGAAAGGUUUACUAUUCUGCAUACUUUUCAAUGCUGCAUAAUUUUCGUUGUUUGGAAAGGUUAACGGGUCAAGUGGGCAAUUAAGUGACUGGGAAAGGUUAACGGGUCAAUUGGGUAAUUAAGAAGCUACACCUACCAAUUUCGAAUGAGGAAUUUGUUUAAAUGUAUAAAGAAUAUUUUGAUUUUUAUAGAAUGAAUUAUCACCAUAUAUGCAUUUUAUUGAUGGAAAAAAUUGCCCAUGGCCCUGCGGGUCGUCUUUCAGUUAAUGGAGCACUAGUAGCAGUUGUGGGCGAUGUGAAGACUAGAACAGAUGAGGAAAAUAUGAUAAUUCGGCUUCAUUCGUGGAAAUUGGAAAAGCAAUUCUGGCACUUGUUACACUCACUUCAUAUAGGCAUUUUAGGGAUUUUGUGGCAAAAUCGAAGAUCAAUGAGUGCAAU
rnacentral:misc_RNA from 1 species